rnacentral:rRNA from 1 species
CAAUAGCGUAUAUUAAAGUUGUUGCGGUUAAAAAGCUCGUAGUUGGAUUUCUGCGAGGGGCAGCCGGUCCGCUCUAUGAGCGUGUAUCUGGAUUGACCUUUGCAUCCUCUCGAAAAACGUUUCUGCGCUUGAUUGCGUGGUGCGGGGUUCGGGACUUUACUUUGAGGAAAUUAGAGUGUUCACGGCAGGCGAUCGCCUUGAAUAUAUUAGCAUGGAAUAAUAAUAUAGGAUCUUGGUUCUAUUUUGUGGUUUCUAGGACUAAGAUAAUGAUUAAUAGGGACAAUUGGGGGCAUUCGUAUUAACACGUCAGAGGUGGAAUUCUUGGAUUGUGUUACGACGAACUACUGCGAAAGCAUUUGCCAAGGAUGUUUUCAUUGAUCAAGAACGAAAGUAAGGGGAUCGAAGACGAUCAGAUACC